GUGAAAUUCCGUCGGAAUCUGGGAGGACCAUCUCCUAAGGCUAAAUACUCUCUAGUGACCGAUAGUGAACCAGUACCGUGAGGGAAAGGUGAAAAGCACCCCGGAAGGGGAGUGAAAUAGAACCUGAAACCGUGUGCUUACAAGUAGUCAGAGCCCGUUAAUGGGUGAUGGCGUGCCUUUUGUAGAAUGAACCGGCGAGUUACGAUUUGAUGCAAGGUUAAGCAGUAAAUGUGGAGCCGUAGCGAAAGCGAGUCUGAAUAGGGCGUUUAGUAUUUGGUCGUAGACCCGAAACCAGGUGAUCUACCCUUGGUCAGGUUGAAGUUCAGGUAACACUGAAUGGAGGACCGAACCGACUUACGUUGAAAAGUGAGCGGAUGAACUGAGGGUAGCGGAGAAAUUCCAAUCGAACCUGGAGAUAGCUGGUUCUCUCCGAAAUAGCUUUAGGGCUAGCCUCAAGUGAUGAUUAUUGGAGGUAGAGCACUGUUUGGACGAGGGGCCCCUCUCGGGUUACCGAAUUCAGACAAACUCCGAAUGCCAAUUAAUUUAACUUGGGAGUCAGAACAUGGGUGAUAAGGUCCGUGUUCGAAAGGGAAACAGCCCAGACCACCAGCUAAGGUCCCAAAAUAUAUGUUAAGUGGAAAAGGAUGUGGCGUUGCCCAGACAACUAGGAUGUUGGCUUAGAAGCAGCCAUCAUUUAAAGAGUGCGUAAUAGCUCACUAGUCGAGUGACACUGCGCCGAAAAUGUACCGGGGCUAAACAUAUUACCGAAGCUGUGGAUUGUCCUUUGGACAAUGGUAGGAGAGCGUUCUAAGGGCGUUGAAGCAUGAUCGUAAGGACAUGUGGAGCGCUUAGAAGUGAGAAUGCCGGUGUGAGUAGCGAAAGACGGGUGAGAAUCCCGUCCACCGAUUGACUAAGGUUUCCAGAGGAAGGCUCGUCCGCUCUGGGUUAGUCGGGUCCUAAGCUGAGGCCGACAGGCGUAGGCGAUGGAUAACAGGUUGAUAUUCCUGUACCACCUAUAAUCGUUUUAAUCGAUGGGGGGACGCAGUAGGAUAGGCGAAGCGUGCGAUUGGAUUGCACGUCUAAGCAGUAAGGCUGAGUAUUAGGCAAAUCCGGUACUCGUUAAGGCUGAGCUGUGAUGGGGAGAAGACAUUGUGUCUUCGAGUCGUUGAUUUCACACUGCCGAGAAAAGCCUCUAGAUAGAAAAUAGGUGCCCGUACCGCAAACCGACACAGGUAGUCAAGAUGAGAAUUCUAAGGUGAGCGAGCGAACUCUCGUUAAGGAACUCGGCAAAAUGACCCCGUAACUUCGGGAGAAGGGGUGCUCUUUAGGGUUAACGCCCAGAAGAGCCGCAGUGAAUAGGCCCAAGCGACUGUUUAUCAAAAACACAGGUCUCUGCUAAACCGUAAGGUGAUGUAUAGGGGCUGACGCCUGCCCGGUGCUGGAAGGUUAAGAGGAGUGGUUAGCUUCUGCGAAGCUACGAAUCGAAGCCCCAGUAAACGGCGGCCGUAACUAUAACGGUCCUAAGGUAGCGAAAUUCCUUGUCGGGUAAGUUCCGACCCGCACGAAAGGCGUAACGAUUUGGGCACUGUCUCAACGAGAGACUCGGUGAAAUCAUAGUACCUGUGAAGAUGCAGGUUACCCGCGACAGGACGGAAAGACCCCGUGGAGCUUUACUGUAGCCUGAUAUUGAAAUUCGGCACAGCUUGUACAGGAUAGGUAGGAGCCUUUGAAACGUGAGCGCUAGCUUACGUGGAGGCGCUGGUGGGAUACUACCCUAGCUGUGUUGGCUUUCUAACCCGCACCACUUAUCGUGGUGGGAGACAGUGUCAGGCGGGCAGUUUGACUGGGGCGGUCGCCUCCUAAAAGGUAACGGAGGCGCUCAAAGGUUCCCUCAGAAUGGUUGGAAAUCAUUCAUAGAGUGUAAAGGCAUAAGGGAGCUUGACUGCGAGACCUACAAGUCGAGCAGGGUCGAAAGACGGACUUAGUGAUCCGGUGGUUCCGCAUGGAAGGGCCAUCGCUCAACGGAUAAAAGCUACCCCGGGGAUAACAGGCUUAUCUCCCCCAAGAGUUCACAUCGACGGGGAGGUUUGGCACCUCGAUGUCGGCUCAUCGCAUCCUGGGGCUGUAGUCGGUCCCAAGGGUUGGGCUGUUCGCCCAUUAAAGCGGUA
rnacentral:rRNA from 1 species